rnacentral:miRNA from 1 species
UUUGUACCGAUUAUAGGCAACUGA